rnacentral:rRNA from 1 species
UGAACGCUGGCGGCGUGCCUAACACAUGCAAGUCGAGCGAGAAGGUUGUUAUUGAUUCUUCGGAUGAUUUAACAACUGGACAGCGGCGGACGGGUGAGUAACGCGUGGGUAACCUACCUUGUACUGGGGGAUAACAUUCUGAAAAGAAUGCUAAUACCGCAUAAGCUUACAGUAUCGCAUGAUACAGUGAGAAAAACUCCGGUGGUACAAGAUGGACCCGCGUCUGAUUAGCUAGUUGGUGAGAUAAAAGCUCACCAAGGCAACGAUCAGUAGCCGGCCUGAGAGGGUGAUCGGCCACAUUGGGACUGAGACACGGCCCAAACUCCUACGGGAGGCAGCAGUGGGGAAUAUUGCACAAUGGGGGAAACCCUGAUGCAGCAACGCCGCGUGAAGGAUGAAGGAUUUCGGUUCGUAAACUUCUAUCAGCAGGGAAGAUAGUGACUGUACCUGACUAAGAAGCCCCGGCUAACUAC